rnacentral:rRNA from 1 species
CCUACGGGCGGCAGCAGUGAGGAAUAUUGGUCAAUGGGCGCGAGCCUGAACCAGCCAAGUCGCGUGAGGGAAUACGGUCCUAUGGAUUGUAAACCUCUUUUGCCGGGGAGCAAAAGACGGGACGUGUGGCGUCCCGAGAGUACCCGAAGAAAAAGCAUCGGCUAAAUCCGGUCCAGCAGCCGCGGUAAUACGGAGGAUGCGAGCGUUUUCCGGAUUUAUUGGGUUUAAAGGGUGCGCAGGCGGAAGAUCUAGUCAGCGGUAAAAUUGUGGGGCUCAACCUCGUCGCGCCGUUGAAACUGGUGUUCUUGAGUGAGUGAGAAGUAUGCGGAAUGCGUGGUGUAGCGGUGAAAUGCAUAGAUAUCACGCAGAACUCCGAUUGCGAAGGCAGCAUACCGGCGCUCAACUGACGCUGAUGCACGAAAGUGUGGGUAUCGAACAGGAUUAGAUACCCGGGUAGUC